rnacentral:rRNA from 1 species
CAGCCCUUGACUUGUGACUCGCCGGGACCAGAGACGGUCCCUUCGGUUCGGCCGGAGUCAACACAGGUGCUGCAUGGCUGUCGUCAGCUCGUGUCGUGAGAUGUUGGGUUAAGUCCCGCAACGAGCGCAACCCUCGUCUCCAGUUGCCAUCAGGUUAUGCUGGGCACUUUGGAGAAACUGCCGGUGACAAGCCGGAGGAAGGUGGGGAUGACGUCAAGUCCUCAUGGCCCUUACGGGCUGGGCUACACACGUGCUACAAUGGCGGUGACAGUGGGAUGCGAAGGGGCGACCCGGAGCCGAUCCUAAAAAGCCGUCUCAGUUCGGAUUGCACUCUGCAACUCGAGUGCAUGAAGGUGGAAUCGCUAGUAAUCGAGGAUCAGCAUGCCUCGGUGAAUA